rnacentral:rRNA from 1 species
CCCUUAGAUGUUCUGGGCCGCACGCGUGCUACACUGAGUGGAUCAGCGGGUCAGGUUGCGCGAAAGUGUUUCCUAAGCUUGAAAUCCGCUCGUGAUGGGGAUUGACGGUUGCAAUUUUCCGUCAUGAACGAGGAAUACCUUGUAAGCGCGGGUCAUCAUCCCGCGCUGAAUACGUCCCUGCCCUUUGUACACACCGCCCGUCGCUCCUACCGAUUGAGUGGUCCGGUGAGGCUUUGGGAUCUGAGCAAAGAGAGCGUUUCGCUCGUUUUGCCCGGAAAACUCAGUCGAACCUUAUCAUUUAGAGGAAGGAGAAGUCGUAACA